rnacentral:rRNA from 1 species
GCACGGGUGUUUCGGCCAUCAAUGGCGAACGGGUGAGUAUCGCGUAGGGAUUUAUCGUUGGGUGGGGGAUAACCCUGGGAAACUGGGGCUAAUACCGCAUGACGCCUUUGGGCCAAAGCAGAGAUGUGCCUGACGAGGAGCCUGCGUCCGAUUAGGUAGUUGGUUGGGUAACGGCUGACCAAGCCUGCGAUCGGUAGCUGGUCUGAGAAAAUGAUCAGCCACACUGGGACUGAGACACGGCCCAGACUCCUACGGGAGGCAGCAGUGGGGAAUAUUGGACAAUGGGGGCAACCCUGAUCCAGCAAUGCCGCGUGGAUGAAGAAGGUCUUCGGAUUGUAAAGUCCUUUCGGCGGGGACGAUGAUGAGCGGUACCCGCAGAAGAAGCCCCGGCUAACUUCGUG